GUCAGGAUGGUGUAGUUGGUUUAUCACAAAACCUUAACACGGUUUGGGUCAUGGGUUCGAUUCCCAUUCUUGAUA
rnacentral:tRNA from 2 species